CUGUUAUGUGAUAUUUACUACAAAUUUUGUUUGCAAUGUUUUUUUUUGUCAAGUUUUUGUAUUGUUACUGAUUAUUAACUUCUAUUUAGAACAUGUUGAGGAAAGGGGGUAUUUAAAACUUUUAUAUUGAUCUCACUUAUAAGUCUAUUUGGAGCAUUCUCAAUAAGAUGGUUUAUACUUUUGUUGGCAAUAAAAGUUAAUCGUGAAAACUGCU
rnacentral:lncRNA from 1 species